AAAUGCGAUAAGUAGUGUGAAUUGCAGAAUUCAGUGAAUCAUCGAAUCUUUGAACGCACAUUGCGCCCUUUGGUAUUCCUUAGGGCAUGCCUGUUCGAGCGUCAUCUAAACCUUCAAGCCCUGCUCGGUGUUGGGUGCCUGUCCCGCCUCCGCGCGCGGACUCACCUCAAAUCCAUUGGCGGCCCCCGCAUCGGCCACGAGCGCAGCAGAAACGCGAACUCGUGAGCCCGUCCGGGCGGCUCCCAGAAGCUACACCCACCCAGUUUGACCUCGGAUCAGGUAGGGAUACCCGCUGAACUUAAGC
rnacentral:misc_RNA from 1 species